ensembl:snoRNA
CUCCAAGGUGAUUCCCUCUCCAAGGGGCCAACUAAUGCCCCUUUCCGGAACGUAGCAACUUGGAAGAAAACCUGGCAUGCCUAGGGUCCUUGGAGCGCAUGGGAUGUGUAUUUCCUUUGCCUUCCUUUGGCUGCCUACAUCA